UAGCAAUUGAAUACAUAAUUAUGAAUAACAACAGCACUGUACAUGUUUGUGUACGUAUUCAGUAUGUCCAUAAUAAUGACUAUUAGAAAUAUUGAAAGAAAC